GUGAGGUGACACCUUUUAUGCAGCAGCCCUCAGAGAGACGGGUCUGUGCCACGAAUGUCUGAACCCUGGAAAGGAGGCAGUGGGAAGGAGCCUCGCGUCUGUGGCCUCCCAGGAAAAGGGAGGGAGGACUUGGGGAAAAUUAGCCAAACAACUGCCUUUUUUCCCCAAUAGCCACUCCGGGUAUGGCUCCUGCUGAGCAGAUCUGCCACACGGACGUCUCCAGCCACCGGGCACAUCAAGCAUGGGCGGCCCCGGACGGGGCCGCCUGGGAUCCCUUCAGACGGCCACGCCGCCCCCGCUCCCAAACGUGAGAAAGUCAACCAAACCAAAGACGAGACCUCGGUAGAGGGAAAACAAGCCUAUCACAGCCAUCGCCAGUCACAGCACACUGCUCCCAUUGGGCCCGAUCUCUGGAAGUAGGACCGAGCGGGCGGGGCCGUGCGUCGGGGCCCAGCCGAGAGCCCGGAGCUCUCACGGAAGGCGGCCGGAGCCCUCCUCGCUCGUCACCUCUCGGGAAGCUGUAUGCUCACCCCGGCUCAUGCUCAUCCCACCUGCCGGGAGCUCAGAAUCACUUAAGAAUCUGAACCCUGAGUUUUAUCUUGGUCCUACGCCAUCCUCCAUCAGACUCCAGGAAGAAACCAGGACAACACCCGGUUCUCCUCUUUCUUCUAUUCCCUCCACAAAAUGUGGCCCACCUCGUUUAUAAACUAAAAUAAAUUUAAGGGCCCACCAUUGGCUCCAUCCGACCACACGCCCAGAGUGGACAUUCUAACAUUCGAGAUGCAGAUGAGGAGAUCGGGACCGUUCGGUCACAUCUUCCAUCUUUGGAGAGCUCAUCCCUUUGGCCGGGGAUGUGAAGAAACAAUCUUCCCUCACUACUCAAGACUUUCCCUCCUACCUGGAGCGUUCUCCCCAGCCUCCUCUUCUCAGAAGCCCUCACAGGACCAAGUUGGGAUUUAGAGUCAGAGCCAAGUCAGCCCUUGGGCGUCUUUGGGACUCAGUUUCCAUUCCUGUCAAAUGAGGGGAUUGCACUCAAUCCUCCCAUGAACCUCAAACUGCCAGGAGGUUCAUGCAUUGGAUCUUGGUAGAUUUUAAGCACUCGGUUUACCUCGGUUUCCUCACGUGGAGAAGGAAACAGUGAACCCCUCUGGGGUGGGUGUCUUGGCCAAGAAACCCUCAAAUGGGGGUCACAAAGAGUUGGACGUGACCGAGCGACCUAUUGACUUAAAAGACCCCAAAAGAACAUUCUCUCCGACGGACUGCAUUUUCCACUUAUUUUGUUAAAUGUCUCCCGAUGACACGUGAAGGUGGCUCUCCUUACUUGAGAGCCUUGAGUUCGACAGUUCUGUUUAGACCAUUUCCAAAAUGUCUUCGCAUGCUGUGAAUUGGAAUCGUAAGAGGACGUGUGAGGACGCUUCGGCGCUAUCUCAAUCCGCACCGUUGGCGACACCGCUCUGAACUCUUACUAAGGAGCGGGCUGCCGAAAAUCCCCCCAAGAUGGGGAGCCGGAAGGGCCCUUGGGCGUUAGGGAGUUCCGUCCCGCCAUUUUACAGAGGAGGAAACUGAGGCCCUGGGAGGGAAAUACCUUAUUCUAGGGAUUCAUACUCAUCUGAGGGGGAGCUCUUGUUGACUCAAUCUGCUCUAUUAGCUUGUCUCUAGUUGCUUCCUGUAAAUGAGCUCUGUCUUCCCAACGGGAAAGGGAGCCCUCCAGCGUGGCCGAACCUCGUACUUUAGUAAAUAUUCGAUAAGUGAGUGAAAAAGUGAAUGGAUUCGGGUCAAAUGGUGACUCUGAGCUCUAAGGCUGGGUCAUGAGACAUGGGGAGGGCUUGGACGGGUGGAGACGGACAAGGAAUGGGUGAUUUAGAGACCCCUCCUCCCUUCCUGUGGAGGCAUCUCUCCACCCUGACCAGGAGCUCAAGUGGUGCUAGAGUGGGUAAUAAAAUGGCCGCUCCUCUAGCAAGUUAUCACUUUGCUCGAUAUCUCCACCAAAGAAUCAUUCUUGCUCAUUGUCUCUAGAAGGCCCUUCUUAGAAUGAACAUGUGCUCCCCCGAAGAGGGGCCAAACUUGCCUCUUUGUCACUUUCCCGUGGACAUUUGUCUCGGAAGGGAGAGGAGCAGGACGAGCUUAAAGUUCAAGGCAAGCUUGAUAGGGGGAGGAUGCUGGGGGUGAAAAGAGGAAGUGCUAUCUAGAUGGAUCCAGAGGGAUCGAGAUGGACCCAGGGAUCUCUGGGGGGACAUAGACCAGGGAGAAAAAUGUAGAGUCCUGGACGGCCAACCUGUGUUCCACUAGAACCUGGCCGUUAAUUCACUGUGUGACCCUGGAUAAUUCUUAUUCCUUCAACUGUCCGCAAUGUUCCCAUCUGUAAAAUACUAAUAAAUGGCAUUUGUUGACCACCUUCAA